rnacentral:rRNA from 1 species
AGUGAACGCUGGCGGUAGGCCUAACACAUGCAAGUCGAACGGCAGCACAGUAAGAGCUUGCUCUUACGGGUGGCGAGUGGCGGACGGGUGAGGAAUACAUCGGAAUCUACUUUUUCGUGGGGGAUAACGUAGGGAAACUUACGCUAAUACCACAUACGACCUACGGGUGAAAGCAGGGGAUCUUCGGACCUUGCGCGAUUGAAUGAGCCGAUGUCGGAUUAGCUAGUUGGCGGGGUAAAGGCCCACCAAGGCGACGAUCCGUAGCUGGUCUGAGAGGAUGAUCAGCCACACUGGAACUGAGACACGGUCCAGACUCCUACGGGAGGCAGCAGUGGGGAAUAUUGGACAAUGGGCGCAAGCCUGAUCCAGCCACACCGCGUGGGUGAAGAAGGCCUUCGGGUUGUAAAGCCCUUUUGUUGGGAAAGAAAAGCAGCAGGUUAAUACCCCGCUGUUCUGACGGUACCCAAAGAAUAAGCACCGGCUAACUUCGUG